AUUGAACGCUGGCGGCAGGCUUAACACAUGCAAGUCGAGCGGGGGGAGGUAGCUUGCUACCUAACCUAGCGGCGGACGGGUGAGUAAUGCCUAGGAAUCUGCCUAUUAGUGGGGGACAACAUUUCGAAAGGGAUGCUAAUACCGCAUACGCCCUAAGGGGGAAAGCAGGGGAUCUUCGGACCUUGCGCUAAUAGAUGAGCCUAAGUCGGAUUAGCUAGUUGGUGGGGUAAAGGCCUACCAAGGCGACGAUCUGUAGCGGGUCUGAGAGGAUGAUCCGCCACACUGGGACGGAGACACGGCCCAGACUCCUACGGGAGGCAGCAGUGGGGAAUAUUGGACAAUGGGGGGAACCCUGAUCCAGCCAUGCCGCGUGUGUGAAGAAGGCCUUUUGGUUGUAAAGCACUUUAAGCGAGGAGGAGGCUACCGAGAUUAAUACUCUUGGAUAGUGGACGUUACUCGCAGAAUAAGCACCGGCUAACUCUGUGCCAGCCGCCGCCGUAAGAC
rnacentral:rRNA from 1 species